rnacentral:tRNA from 1 species
GCAAAAGGCUUAAGCCCUUUAAUCAGAGGUUCAAAUCCUCUCCCUAGCU